UACGUAGGGUGCAAGCGUUAAUCGGAAUUACUGGGCGUAAAGCGUGCGCAGGCGGUUUUGUAAGUCUGUCGUGAAAGCCCCGGGCUCAACCUGGGAACUGCAUUUGAAACUGGCGGGCUUGAGUGUGGCAGAGGGGGGUGGAAUUCCGCGUGUAGCAGUGAAAUGCGUAGAGAUGCGGAGGAACACCGAUGGCGAAGGCAGCCCCCUGGGCCAACACUGACGCUCAGGCACGAAAGCGUGGGGAGCAAACAGG
rnacentral:rRNA from 1 species